UGUGCAUCCCACGGGCAGGCUUUGGGUUCCCAGCAUACGGUGGCUGUGGGGACAGUGCUGGCUGUACUGCUGCCCCCUCCCCACAUCCUGGGGAGCUCUGAGGGGAGGGAAGGGGGGGAUGGACGGAUGGACGGACGGAGGGACGGACACGGCUCCAGGAGUGUAGCAGUGACAGUGGGUGGGAGGAGAGGGGAACAUUGGGGAUGUGCUGCUGCUUUAAGGACCCCUCCAACCCAACCACCCUAUGGUUCUGUGGUCUAUAAGGUCCCUUCCAACCCAACCGUUGUGCAUUUCUAUGGCCCUAUGAUCUUCAAGGACCCUUCCAACCCAACCAUAAUGGGAUUCUAUAGUUCUGUGAUCUUUAAGGACCCUUCCAACCCAAUCAUUUUGCAGUACUAUGGCUCUAUGAUCUUCAAGGACCCUUCCAACCCAACCACUGUGAACUUAUAUAGCUCUGUGAUCUCCAAAGACCCUUCCAACCCAACCAUCCUACUCUUCUAUGGUCUAUAAGGUCCCUUCCAACCCAACCAUAAUGGGAUUCUAUAGUUCUAUGAUCUUCAAGGACCUUUCCAACCCAACCACUGUGAACAUACAUAGCUCUGUGAUCUUCAAAGACCCUUCCAACCCAACCAUUGUGGGAUUCUAUAGUUCUAGGAUCUUUAAGGACCCCUCCAACCCAACCACCCUAUGGUUCUGUGGUCUAUAAGGUCCCUUCCAACCCAACCGUUGUGCAUUUCUAUGGCCUUAUGAUCUUCAAGGACCCUUCCAACCCAACCACUGUGAACUUACAUAGUUCUAUGACCAUCAGAGAUCCUCCCAACCCAACCAUCCUAUUGUUCUAUUGUCUGUAAGAUCCCUUCCAACCCAACCAUUGUGGGAUUCUAUAGUUCUAUGAUCUUCAAGGACCCUUCCAACCCAACCACUGUGAACUUAUAUAGCUCUAUGAUCUUCAAAGACCCUCCCAACCCAACCAUCCUAUUGUUCUAUUGUCUUUACAGUCCCUUCCAACCCAACCAUAAUGGGAUUCUAUAGUUCUAUGAUCUUUAAGGACCCUUCCAACCCAACCACCCUAUGGUUCUGUGGUCUAUAAGGUCCCUUCCAACCCAACCGUUGUGCAUUUCUAUGGCCCUAUGAUCUUCAAGGACCCUUCCAACCCAACCACUAUGAUUUUAUAUAGUUCUAUGAUCGUCAGAGAUCCUCCCAACCCAACCAUCCUAUUGUUCCAUUGUCUAUAAGGUCCCUUCCAACCCAACCAUAAUGGGAUUCUAUAGUUCUGUGAUCUUUAAGGACCCUUCCAACCCAAUCAUUUUGCAGUACUAUGGCUCUAUGAUCUUCAAGGACCUUCCAACCCAACCACUGUGAACUUAUAUAGCUCUGUGAUCUCCAAAGACCCUUCCAACCCAACCAUCCUACUCUUCUAUGGUCUAUAAGGUCCCUUCCAACCCAACCAUAAUGGGAUUCUAUAGUUCUAUGAUCUUCAAGGACCUUUCCAACCCAACCACUGUGAACUUAUAUAGCUCUGUGAUCUUCAAAGACCCUUCCAACCCAACCAUUGUGGGAUUCUAUAGUUCUAUGAUCUUUAAGGACCCCUCCAACCCAACCACCCUAUGGUUCUGUGGUCUAUAAGGUCCCUUCCAACCCAACCAGUGUGCAUUUCUAUGGCCCUAUGAUCUUCAAGGACCCUUCCAACCCAACCACUGUGAUUUUAUAUAGUUCUAUGAUCGUCAGAGAUCCUCCCAACCCAACCAUCCUAUUGUUUUAUUGUCUAUAAGUUCCCUUCCAACCCAACCAUAAUGGGAUUCUAUAGUUCUGUGAUCUUUAAGGACCCUUCCAACCCAAACAUUGUGAACUUAUAUAGUUCUAUGAUCGUCAGAGAUCCUCCCAACCCAACCAUCCUAUUGUUCUGUUGUCUAUAAGAUCCCUUCCAACCCAACCACUGUGGG
ensembl:lncRNA